GACAGAGGCCUCAAGCGUUAGGCGGAAUCACUGGGCUUAAAGCGUGUGUAGGCGGAUCUGUAAGUACCUUGUGAAAUCCCACGGCUCAACCGUGGAACGGCUGGGUAUACUGCCUGUCUUGAGCCAGCUAGGGGCGAGCGGAACAGACGGUGGAGCGGUGAAAUGCGUAGAUAUCGUCUGGAACGCCGAAGGUGAAAACAGCUCGCUGGGGCUGUGCUGACGCUGAGACACGAAAGCCAGGGGAGCGAACGGG
rnacentral:rRNA from 1 species